rnacentral:rRNA from 1 species
UACGAAGGGGGCGAGCGUUGUUCGGAAUCACUGGGCGUAAAGGGAGUGUAGGCGGUUCGGUAAGUGGGAUGUGAAAUGCCCCGGCUCACCCGGGGACCUGCAUCCCAAACUGCUGAGCUUGAGUACAGGAGAGGGUGGGGGGAAUUCCAGGUGUAGCGGUGAAAUGCGUAGAUAUCUGGAGGAACACCGGUGGCGAAGGCGCCCACCUGGCCUGCUACUGACGCUGAGGUGCGAAAGCGUGGGGAGCAAACAGG